rnacentral:lncRNA from 1 species
UCAACCUCUGACCUGAGGCACACAGAUCCCCAUCCUGGGGCGUCCUCCCCUCUCUCGGCACCUGCCUCGCCUCCAGCGUCCGUGUUGGCCCAGGGUCGGGCCCUUUAAUUUAAAGAUGCCAUUCGUGUGAGAGUUGAGCGUUGUGCCCUCGAUAGCGAUGCCUUUUACAAGCUGGGUCACGGAGAACUGUGAGCGGCUACCAGAAAGCACUGGAGCUAGACCUUGUGAGGAACCCGCGCGCACAGGCGCUCACACCACAAACAGCCUCGCCAGCCUGAUCAGCUUCAUCUCAGAACGUUCCUUCCGGGGGAGCCCUGGGUCUGCUCUGAAGAUGCCCUGGAGUGUCUGGCCGGAUGGGCCGGGUCACGGGGUCUGGGGGCUGCCGACUCUCUGGGAGAGACCAGGGGAAAGAGCGCGAGUGGACGGAGCCUGUGUAAGGGACUAA